rnacentral:lncRNA from 1 species
CUAUCUUCCUGCUUUGGCCUCCCAAAGUGCUAAGAUUACAGGUGUGAGCCACUGUGCCAGCCUGUUUAACUCUUAAGGGGAGGUGACUAAUGGGAGAAGGAGUGGUGGUGGUGGUGGGGUGUGAGAUAGUAUGAUACUGCGAAAGUCACAGGUGAAAUUUCUCUGGAAAUUUCUGUUGGAAGAUGGGGUUUGAUCAUACCUACCAGUUUGCCUGGACAUUCUGAUUCAUUCCAGGUGUUCUGGCAUAAUUAUUAAUACUGCCAACUUUCAUGCCGAAGAAAGUGCCAGUUUGGAGGUAAAUUAUCUGGUAACCAUUCCGCAGGGUUGUGAAAAUUAAUGAUAAAACUUGUAUAAACAUGCUCUGUGAAUUAUAAAGCACUGUACAAAUAAAAGGAAUUAAGGGACUUAAGUUCUUUUAUUGAAUUCUCCUGUUAGAGACAAACAAAUAUGUCUAAAAUUGUUAUCUACUUUGGUCUGUUAUUGGACUGAGAUCUGUUUGGAUUUCCAUGAAAAUAAACCUGCAAGAAAAUUAAUUUUAUUUUAAGGUAGCUUAGCAUGUGCUUAACCACUUUCUAGAUUCAAUUCCUUUCAGUGGUCUGUUCUGGAUUCUCACAUGUAUGCUAGAGGUUUUCUGCUGUUUUUGUUUUUUUCAAAUUUAUGAGUCCUUUCAAAUCUGGCAUUUUACAGUUUUGAUGGAUUUUGAAUAUGGGGGAUAUCCUAAUGCCCUAGGAAUUUUUAAAACCCGUUUCAGAAGGGAAAGAGUAUAAAACGAUUAUGUGUUAAGUAUUUACCAUAAAGAAGGCAGAGUAGAGUGUCCGCCCUUAAAGAGCUAGCAAUAACCAUGUCAUGUGUCCCUUAUAUCAAACCAUAUGGGAGAGGUUUAAUUGAUUUCCCUUUUCACAUGGAAGGGAAUUGAGGCACACAGAGGUUAGAUAACUUUGUUUACUGGCUACAGCCAGUAAAGAAUUAGGAUUUAAGGACAUCUAAUCUGAGCCAAAACCUGUUGAUCAUCCAUUCAGAAGUUACAAAUAUAUAUUGAAUUCCGACUCUAUGCCAGGCACUGUGUAUAUGAGUACACUGUGGUAAGUAAAACAGGUGUGGUCCUUAUUUCUAGUUUGGUGUCAUCAUUAUCAAUCAGGCCAUCAUCUAUUAAAUAGAUAUCCCAGAUGUUUUGUUAAGUGCUUUGCUUGCAUUAUCAAUUAAAAUUGUUACAACUGUGUAUUAUUAUUAUUAUUUCUAUCUUAUAGAUGGGGAGACUGUGGCUCAAUGAGGUCAAACAAUUUGCAGUCAGGGAGUAGGGAUGCUUUGAAUAUGGCCAUCAUCUCACUGGCUCACUGUGGGGGAGUGAUGCCAGGAGGACUUCUGUUCCACCAUCUUGCUGAUGUUACUCUCCCUCACUAAAACAUUGUGUGUGCAACUAGGGUCAUCUGGGCAGCUGAAAAAAAAAGUCAAAGAAAAACUAAGGCCUUCCUUUCCUAUCACCCAUCAAUGUUGGCAGAGAUGGAAAAAACAGGCACCGUUUAGGUGCUGGGAAUGGAGCAGUGAACCACACUGACAACAACUCCCUGCCUUCAUAGAACCUGCCUUCUAGAAAGGGAAGACAGAGCAAAAAAAAAAUAAACUGGAUCAAAGCUAUACUCAACUUCAAGAUGACUGUUCACUGAGAAAUGUGAAAUUAAUAUGAAAUAUGAAAGAAAACUCUUACUAUGUAAAUGAAUCACAGAAUCCAAGAAAGAUGUGCCGGAUGGGAACUAGAGGUCAUCUAGAUUGCAUUCUGUCUAAUCAGAUCAUAUGAAGGUAAGAUUUCUGGGCUGAAGAGUUAAAAGUGUAUCCUUCUCACAUUAGAAGAGAGAAAUGGAAAGAAUCCAAGCUUUUUAUUCAAACAAGGCUGGAUUUAAAUUUUGAUGCUGCUUCUUAACUUUCUGUGUCCUUUGGGCAAAUUAUUUAACCUCUCUAAGAUUUAGAAAAGAAAGAUGGCAAUAGUGCCUACUUCUUAAAAUGGUUUUUAGAUUUAAAUGAGAAUGGGGAAGAUAGAUACGUAGGUAGGUAGAUAGAUGUAGAUACAUACGUACACAUAUUGCCGAAUACCUAAUAUGCAGCUUUUUAGCAUUAUUAUUAUCAAAGCCUCUUUUAUUCCUCAGUGGCCAUUGGCUAGAAAUAUUUUGAUAUCAUUUCUUUUGGGUUUAAAAGAGAAGGAAGAUAACCACUGAAAUCUCUUUGUCCUUUUUUAAAAAAAAGCAUGGUAAGCACAUUUAACAUGAGAUCUACCCUUUCAACAGACUUUUAACUGUGAAAUACAGUAUUUUUAACUACAGGACAAAUGUGCAAUGGAUCUCUAUAACUUACUUAUUUUGUGUAAGUUCCUGUUAACUAGCAACUCACCAUUUCCCCCUCUCUGCAGCCCCUGGCAACCACCACUGUGCUGUCUGCUUCUACAGGUUUGACUAUUUCAGAUUCCCCAGAGUCGUGUGUCUUCCAAUACUGAUAGAAUAGUAUUGAAGACCAUGGUAUAUUUUUUUAUGGACAAGAGUAUUGUGAUAUCAUCUCUUGCUGUCUAUUCUCCUUCAGCUUCUUCCCUUAGUUUUUCUUUUCCUAUAGCGCAGAAUCUCUUCUGUGUCCUUUCUCCAGUCUCAUUUUCUGUUGAAUGGCCUCUAUUCAGGAUUUGUUUCCGUAACACUACUGAAACCGUACUUCUCAGGGUCAUCAGUGAACUCCAUCUUGCUAAAUCUGGUGGCAAAUUUUUAUUCCUUUUAGUAUGUGAUAUAUUAGCACAAGAUGGUUUCCUUCUCCUGGAAGUUCUUUUUUCACUUAGCUUCUAGGACAUCACAUCUUUCUGGUCUUCUUUCCAUCUCACUGGCUGCUUCUUUUCAGGUCUCCUUUGUGGGGCCCUCCUUCUCUCUCCCAUCUAUAAAUGUCACAGUGCUUGGGUUUCAGCUCUUGUUCCUUGCUCCACCCACAUUCCCUCCUCAGUAAGCGCAUUAUCUUCCAUGGUGGGAAUACAGUCUAUAUGCUAAUUGGUCUCAAAUUCGUAUCUCCUACUCCGAUUUCUCCCUGAAGUUCAGGUCAUAAAUCCAACCGCCUCCUUUAUUACUAUCUGGAUGUCCAGUAGGCAUCUAAAAAUUAUCAUGUCCAAAACAAAACUCUUGUUUCCACUUCCUCAAAAAUCCACCCCUUCCCCAUGCUUCCCUGGUUUAUUAGAAGGCAACUCCAUUUUCCCCAAUCACCCUUGAAAUAAUCCAGAACUCUUCUCUUUACCUCAUACCCAUCAUCUACAGCAAGUCCUGUUGCCUCCACCUUCAAACUUGAUUUCCAGUCCAACCACUUCUCACCAUCUCUUAGCUCAGCCCACAGCACCUACACUGGACUGGAGUGUAAUGCCUGCAUUACUUUGUAGUCUCCUAAAUGAUCUCCUAGUUUAUAUAUUUGGCAGGUGCCAGAAUGAUCCUUUAAAACUCUAAAUUAGAUCAUAUUAUUACUCUGCUCAAAACCAUCUAAUGGCUUCUCAUCCCACUCAGAAUAAAACCUAAACUAUUUAUCAUGUUCUGCUUCUCCAGCAUCAUCUCCUAUCACUGCCGGCCUUACUUGCUUUUCUCCAGGCACACCAGCCUUCUUGCUGUGUCUCAGACACGACAGGCAUGUUCCUGCCUCAGAGCCUUUGCACCCACUCCUCCGUCUCCCUGGAAUAUUUUGCCGUCAGAUCUUUGCUUGGCAGCUGGCUCCCUCACUUAGUACUAGGUUCUCAUCUUUAAGUAUCACAUCUUCAGGGAGGGCUUCUCCAAUCCCCCUUUUUAUACUCUCACUCACUCUGAGCUAGGUGCUGUUCUAGGUGUUGGGGGAACAGCAGUGAAUAGAGAGCUCCUCCUCUCUGAGGUUUACCCCACCUCGUCCUAUCCCAUCCCAUCUCAUUGCUCUGCACCUAUUAAGUUCUUCUUUUAAUUUUUUUUCUCAUUGUACAUAUUAUUGCCUGGUACCUUUCCAUAUAUUUAUUUUCUUCUUUAUUUACAAUCUCUUCUCUGUUAGAAUGUAGGCUGAAUGAGGACAGGUACUGUUGUAUCCCUAGCCCCUAGAAUAGUGCUUGGCAGGUGGCAGGCACUCUAUAAGUGUUUCUGGAAUGAAUGAUUGUAGAAGUAGUUUGAUAAAUAGAAGUCUAUUGCAGGCAAUAGGCAGAGACUUCAUCUUGCCAUAUGUGACUUAGAAGGGAUGUGAGUAGAAUAUGAAUGAAUGUUUCAAGCUGAAGCCUACUUCAUGGAUGUCACUAGCAGUUCCUGAGUACAUCCUAGAUGUCCAUUCAGUGUUCUAUACUUUAUAGCUUUGAAUGAUGAUUUGGCUUUCAAAAGAUAUACAUGUCCAUCUUGAAUUUUUCGCAGUGAGUUUCGGUUGCAUAUGCCCCGGUUUAUUUGUGUAUGAUAUGUGCUGUGCCUGGCAUCUGCUCUGCUUUCUGGCCCUCUGUGUGCCUGUGCCCAGAGGACAUCUGAGAGUUAGUUGGCAUAUUAUAAGGUAGUAUCAGAAAACCUUUGCUCUGAGCCCUCUGACUGAUCCUAUUGGGGUUGAGAAACCUAUCAAGUACUGCUAAGCUGGCAGAAUGACAAAAUCAACUCACACAAGGAAAUAAAUCAGGCGCGGUGGGCAUGGAGAGCCUUGAGGACCAAUGGCAGAGGAAGACAGAGAUUAUGGCUCAUGGAUGGUAGAUGAUUGAGGACUGGAUAGAAACUGGGUUGUCCAGAAACACUAUGUCUUAGCCAGAGCUGGAACAUUGGCAUUUGAAGCUGAAGACUAGUCCUGGCACUUUCAAGCUCUAUCUGUGUUAGGAUUGGGGUCCUCUCCUCCAGUCACUUUUCUUUUUGUCCAUAAUGGAAGUUGCAAGUUGACACUUAUAAGCCCAGAGUUUUGAGAUGCUGGUGGGUGUGUUUUCUGGGCAGAGUACCUUUCCCCCAGUGCUCUCAGCCAGUCCAGAGGCAUCUCUCUGAUGAUGCAGGGUUGGGUAUGAUGUGCCUACACCUGCAAUGAGGCACCGGAAAUAUAGGCAUUAAGAGAGGAGAUUUCCAUGAGAGUCAUAGAAAAGAAACUUGCCAUUCAAAGUGGCUUUUUGACUUCACUGUUUCCAGGAAGUGCUAUCUCUGACAGGAAUUAUUUCCUUGCUUUCUGCCAGUGAUCGUGCAUGUUUUUGGCAAUGUGAAAUGUGGGUGCUUGGAGGAGAAAUGCACAAAUAAAAGGAGAGGAAGGGAGAUAAAGUAAAGGCAUCAUUGUUGUUCAGUUCUUCAGAAAGAUUAUCCAUCCUCUCUAACAGUGUCUUUUUUUCCUUAGUGUCACAGAGUGAAAAGAGCAAAAACUUUGGAAUUAGACACAUUUGUGCUUAAAUCCUGGAUAUUUCAGUUAUGGUGUUGGCUUAGGCAAAAAAUCUUAAUUUCUCAAAUCUUAGGUUAUUAAUCUGUAAAACUGGAUAAAUAAUAUCUAUGAUAUAGGGUUGUUUUGAGUCUUAAGUGAAAUAGGUGCAAAGUACAAAGCAUAGGGCCCGAAAGAUUCCUCUAUAAAUAGUAACUUUAAAAAGGGGAGUCAGGAGAGAAAAUACCGCAUCAGAUAUGAACGACCUGGGCUUCACUUAUUAAUUUAUUGAGCAAAUUGUUAAACUGAGCAUCUUCUUUGAAUCUAGAAACGGGUGAUAUGAUGGGCAAGAUAGAUAUGCCUCCUUAGAGGCAAAAGGUGCAGACAGGUAAAAACACAUGCAAAUGUAAAAAUAUAAGAGAAGUGCUAAGCAUGAUAAGUGUCACUAUGAAAGGAAGAGAAGAAGGAAAGGGGAAACUGCUUUAUAUAGAGUGAUCAGGGAAGGCUUCCUGGAGGAGGUGAUGUACAAGCUGAGAAAGAAGAAUAUGAAGGAGCCAGACAUGUGAAGGCUGGAGGGAAGGGUUCCAGGUAGAAGAAAGGAUGUUAGCAAAUGUUUGAGGCCAAACAAAACUUGGUGUGUUUGAGGUACUGAAUACCAGAGUGGCUGAGAUGAGAGACCAGUGCCAGAACACGAGAGACACAUAGGAUGAAAGGACUGGCAGUUAUUCCUGGGGAAAGUCUCUCUUGAGAACCUGUCACAAGAACAUGCCAUGUUGUAAGAAGGUUUCUCCCUUUGGUUAUUAGUCUUCCCCCAACAGUCUUGGAAGUAAAAUGAAGCUAUUUUGUUGUAAUGCAAUAGUUUGCCUAUAUUGGAAUCAUUAGCAUUCGAUCAUAUCUUAGUGUUGCUCUGUGAGAGGAUGGUGCAUUAUGGUGAAUUAUCUGCUGUUCUCCACAGGAGCCAAAGCUGUCUUCCUGUUAGCUCCAGAGUAAAAGUAGCCUGCAGCCCACACCCUGGGGUCUGAUGAAAGGACUCACACUCCAGUCUGCAUUCCUGCUGCACCUGCCAGACCCUGCUGACAAAAUUUCUGUUUCUCCAUUGACCAAAUAAAACUGCAGUGUGGCCCCUUGGAGGGUUCCAGGAAAACUGAAGCUCCACUUCUCGUUUUUUAAGUUAGCCUGCUGCCACCUGGAGCUGAAAGCUGUAAUCCCCACUCACCCUGGUGGGGACCUGACCUCUCUCCCACUGGAACCAGGUUGGUGGGAAGUAGCAAGAGAACUUGAUUUCACUCCUAUUUAGAGAGUCUAUGUUCUCUGCUUCUGGUCUCACCUUCAAAAUUAGGGCAGUGGUCUUUGAUAGGAUGAUAACAGCAAGACAGGAGAGGUAGGCAUCGGCCAAACCAUGCCACUGAAUGACAUAACAGCUGAAUGACCUCUAGCAAAUUAUUUAUCUUCUCCAGACACUUUUUUUUGUCCCUAAAAAUAGGAACAACAUUAUCUAUCUCUUAGUGUUGUGGGGGAAGAUAUGAGUACAAAAAGCAAUUGGCAUGCUAGGUGUUAAUUUAUUCUUUCUUCCCUUUUUCUCUUCCCUUCCCUUCUCUGGUCAGUGAGUGCUUCUCCCUCUUUUCUGUCUCUUAUUAUUGAAUAUCUCAUCUUUCGUAUGUGAUGUGGUGGUGAAUCCCAGGUGGGCAUUCUCACCACUUGUUAUAUCAUGGCCAAGUGCUUGGAGAAAGAUGUGAUCACAAUAUUGAAAAUUAAGUCAUUUAGAGUCAAUUUCACUUAAUUAUGCUCUCUCUCUCUGCCCCAACAUCCACCAGGCCUGCUCUCAAUGUGCAAUGUUGCUUCAUUUGGUAGUAUCCUUGGAAAAUGAGGGGUUUCAUAUAAAUGAGUUUUUAGAGCUUUUUCAAGAAAAAUUAAGCCCAUCUUUUUGUGGCAAAUUGUAGCAGGCCUUCUCUUAGGCCCAAAGGCACAGUAGCAAAUACAAUGUGUAAGUGGUAAUGGUGCUGAUGCAAGAAUUUUCUUAGAUCAGAAAGUCCCACCUGGGGAGAUUUUAACAUCUUUCACACUCAGGCCAUACCUCGGGCCAAUUACAUCAGAAUCUCUAGGGGUGGGAUCCAGGCAUCAGUAUUUUUUAAAGCUUCCAGGUGAUUCGAAUGUGCAACCAAAGAUGCGGAACCACUGCUAUUCAGUUUCUUAACGCUCGAAACCUCUGAAUGUGUCUAUGUUUCUAUGAAUUAAAAAAGAACACUAUAAUCAUGUGUUUGCUGCAGGGCAACAUUAUGGCCCACAGGGAUGGGGGUGAAUGAAGCCUCAGUCAGAAGCAGACACAUCUUUAUGGAAAUGACCAUGAGAGGCCAGCUCUGGCAAGGCAUGAGUAUUGGCCACCACAGCUGAUAGCCAUGUGCCCAUAACAAACAGUGGAAUUGUGCCAGUUUUCAAAGGGAAUUCUUACAACCAUUGUGGAAGACAGUGUGGUGAUUCCUCAAGGAUCUAGAAC